UAUAAUGGGUCAGCGACUUAUAUUCUGUAGCAAGGUUAACCGUAUAGGGGAGCCGAAGGGAAACCGAGUCUUAACUGGGCGUUAAGUUGCAGGGUAUAGACCCGAAACCCGGUGAUCUAGCCAUGGGCAGGUUGAAGGUUGGGUAACACUAACUGGAGGACCGAACCGACUAAUGUUGAAAAAUUAGCGGAUGACUUGUGGCUGGGGGUGAAAGGCCAAUCAAACCGGGAGAUAGCUGGUUCUCCCCGAAAGCUAUUUAGGUAGCGCCUCGUGAACUCAUCUUCGGGGGUAGAGCACUGUUUCGGCUAGGGGGUCAUCCCGACUUACCAACCCGAUGCAAACUGCGAAUACCGAAGAAUGUUAUCACGGGAGACACACGGCGGGUGCUAACGUCCGUCGUGAAGAGGGAAACAACCCAGACCGCCAGCUAAGGUCCCAAAGUCACAGUUAAGUGGGAAACGAUGUGGGAAGGCUCAGACAGCCAGGAUGUUGGCUUAGAAGCAGCCAUCAUUUAAAGAAAGCGUAAUAGCUCACUGGUCGAGUCGGCCUGCGCGGAAGAUGUAACGGGGCUAAACUGUGCACCGAAGCUGCGGCAGCGACGCUUAUGCGUUGUUGGGUAGGGGAGCGUUCUGUAAGCCUGCGAAGGUGUCCUGUGAGGGAUGCUGGAGGUAUCAGAAGUGCGAAUGCUGACAUAAGUAACGAUAAUGCGGGUGAAAAGCCCGCUCGCCGGAAGACCAAGGGUUCCUGUCCAACGUUAAUCGGGGCAGGGUGAGUCGACCCCUAAGGCGAGGCCGAAAGGCGUAGUCGAUGGGAAACGGGUUAAUAUUCCCGUACUUGGUGUUACUGCGAAGGGGGGACGGAGAAGGCUAUGUUGGCCGGGCGACGGUUGUCCCGGUUUAAGCGUGUAGGCUGGUUUUCCAGGCAAAUCCGGAAAAUCAAG
rnacentral:rRNA from 2 species